GGGAUGAACGCUAGCGGCAGGCUUAAUACAUGCAAGUCGUGGGGCAGCAUGGUGUAGCAAUACACUGAUGGCGACCGGCAAACGGGUGCGGAACACGUACGCAACCUUCCUUUAACUGGAGAAUAGCCCGGGGAAACCCGGAUUAAUACUCCGUAACAUUAUGAAGUGGCAUCACUUUAUAAUUAUAGCUCCGGCGGUUGAAGAUGGGCGUGCGUCUGAUUAGGUAGUUGGCGGGGUAACGGCCCACCAAGGCGAAGAUCGGUA
rnacentral:rRNA from 1 species